rnacentral:rRNA from 1 species
GAUGAACGCUAGCGGCAGGCCUAACACAUGCAAGUCGAGGGGGAAGUUACUUUCGGGUGACUGAGACCGGCGUACGGGUGCGUAACGCGUAUACAAUUUGCCUUUCACUGGGGGAUAGCCCGCAGAAAUUUGGAUUAAUACCCCCUAGUAUAUAGGGACGGCAUCGUUUUUAUCUUAAAGCUUCGGUGGUGAAAGUUGAGUAUGCGUUCUAUUAGUAGGUUGGAGAGGUAACGCCUCCCCAAGGCGAUGAUAGAUAGGGGUUCUGAGAGGGAUGUCCCCCAGACUGGUACUGAGGUACGGACCAGACUGCGACGGGAGGCAGCAGUGAGUAAUAUUGGAGAAUGGUCGGAAGACUGAUCCAGCCAUGCCUCGUGCAGGAGGAAUGUCUUAUGGAUUGUAAACUGCUUGUGAAAGAGAAGAAUAAGGUCUACGCGUAGUUUGAUGACGGUACCUUACGAAUAAGCACCGGCUAACUCCGUG